AUACGGGAGGCAGCAGUGGGGAAUUUUGGACAAUGGGCGCAAGCCUGAUCCAGCCAUGCCGCGUGAGUGAAGAAGGCCUUCGGGUUGUAAAGCUCUUUCGGCGGGGAAGAAAUCGCAUUCUCUAAUACAAAGUGUGGAUGACGGUACCCGAAUAAGAAGCACCGGCUAACUACGUGCCAGCAGCCGCGGUAAUACGUAGGGUGCGAGCGUUAAUCGGAAUUACUGGGCGUAAAGCGUGCGCAGGCGGUUUUGUAAGUCAGAUGUGAAAUCCCCGGGCUCAACCUGGGAACUGCAUUUGAGACUGCAAGGCUAGAGUGUGGCAGAGGGGGGUGGAAUUCCACGUGUAGCAGUGAAAUGCGUAGAGAUGUGGAGGAACACCGAUGGCGAGGGCAGCCCCCUGGGCCAAUACUGACGCUCAUGCACGAAAGCGUGGGGAGCAAACAGGAUUAGAAACCCUAGUAGUCCC
rnacentral:rRNA from 1 species